AUUGAACGCUGGCGGCAGGCUUAACACAUGCAAGUCGAGCGAGCGGCGCACGUGUGAGUUAUGUCUGGGAAACUGCCUGCUGGAGGGGGAUAACUACUGGAAACGGUAGCUAUUCCCGCCUACCAUCAGGUUUGCCCCGCUGGCUUUCGCUAGUAGGUUGGGUAAUGGCUCACCUAGGCGACGAGCCCUCGCUGGGCUGAGAGGAUUACGAGUCACACUGGAACUGAGAAACGGGCAAGAGUCCAACGGGAGGCAGGAGUGGGGAAUAUUGCACAAUGGGCGCAAGCCUGAUGCAGCCAGGCCGCGUGUGUGAAGAAGGCCUUCGGGUUGUAAAGCACUUUCAGCGAGGAGGCGGUAGGCGCAGAAGAAGCACCGGCUAACUCCGUGCCAGCAGCCGCGGUAAUUC
rnacentral:rRNA from 1 species